rnacentral:lncRNA from 1 species
UUAAGAUGAACUCAUGACUUUUCGACCAUUAUAGUAUCUUACCCAUGAGCAAAACAUAACAAACCCAUAAGAAUAACUCAAACACCAAAAAAACACAUUGACAUUCACAUUAACAAGAUUAAAUAGUCAUGUAAUAAACCAAUCAAGAACUUAAAGUCAGAAACAAUGAAACCCACAAAUAAGACACAUAAUAAACCAAUUAAAAACUCAUAAUUGGAGGUCGACUAACCGCCUUAAGCUUGUGAAGAUUGGCUUUGUGAAUUAAAGUUGUCUUCACCCCAAAAAGAAACGAGAUCCAACAAACUAAUAGCAACAAGAUCCAACCUGCAAACUAAUAGCAUGAAUGUCUCGAUUUCUAUUGUAAUAAACAAAAAAAAACAAAAACAGAUUACAAACAAUAUAAGAACCAUAGCUCGAAGAAAGUCGAUAACCUGAAGAUUGUAAAGCAGAUUGAUUCUCUUGCUUAUGUUCGUAUUAGGUCCUCAAAGAUAUCUCUAGGGCUUCGAUUCUUGCUACAAUGAGAGUUAAUGGAAAGUAAUUAGAGAAAUCAAAGACACUGAGAAUGACGAUUAAAUCUAGAGUUCAUUACUCGAGAAAUCAUAAAUUGAUUACCUUUCAUGGGUUUCUUAUUCGAAAUCUUCAGGGUGGACUAGAGCGACGGAGAGAACACCAGCUCAGGCAAGAGGAGGGCUGAUUCCUUUUCGAACCCAGAGGUAGAUCGAGGCGACGGAGCUAGGUUGAGAAAUGACUGAAAUCGACGGAAAUCGAGGCGACGGAGGUUGAGGAAUGAGAGGAAAUGGGUUUUUUGGUGACCGGAAAAGGGAAUCGUGGUGGCGACAUAGGUUUAGAUUUUCAGAGAAAAAUGAUCUAAUAAGUGUUUGCUUUUGUCUAAGAGUUUUGGCAAGAGUGAGAGUGGCGGAAAAACCUAAGUUUUGGUUCACUGUUUUGCCUCCAAAAUGAUUUUCUAGCUAUAG